CCCCACUGCUAUCGGGGUGGGACUAAAACAUGCAAGUCGAGCGCCUCCAAGCUAUGGUGAAGGCGCGGCAAACGGCUCAGUAACACGUGGCCAACCUACCCUUGGGACGGAGACAACCCCGGGAAACUGGGGCUAAUCCCCGAUAAGUAAGGAAUCCUGGAAUGGAUCUUUGCUGAAAGGGCGUCUAGACCAUGCUUCUUGACGUCGCCCAAGGAUGGAGCCGCGGCCGAUCAGGUAGUUGGCGAGGCAACGGCUCACCAAGCCUAUAACCGGUACGGGCCGUGAGAGCGGGAGCCCGGAGAUGGGCACUGAGACAAGGGCCCAGGCCCUACGGGGCGCAGCAGUCGCGAAAACUCCGCAAUACACGAAAGUGUGACGGGGCCAUCCCGAGUGCCAUCCGCUGAGGAUGGCUUUUCCCCAGUGUAUAAAGCUGGGGGAAUAAGGAGAGGGCAAGCCUGGUGUCAGCCGCCGCGGUAAUACCAGCUCUCCGAGUGGUGGGGAUGUUUAUUGGGCCUAAAGCAUUCGUAGCCUGCUUGGCAAGUCCUCCGUUAAAUCCAACGAUUCAAUCGUUGGGCUGCGGGGGAUACUGUCCGGCUAGGGGGCGGGAGAGGCCGACGGUAUCCUCGGGGUAGGGGUGAAAUCCUAUAAUCCCGGGAGGACCACCAGUGGCGAAGGCUGUCGGCUAGAACGCGCUCGACGGUGAGGGAUGAAAGCUGGGGGAGCGAACCGGAUUAGAUACCCGGGUAGUCCCAGCUGUAAACGAUGCAGGCUAGGUGUUGGCGCGGCUACGUGCCGCUCCAGUGCCGCAGGGAAGCCGUUAAGCCUGCCGCCUGGGAAGUACGGCCGCAAGGCUGAAACUUAAAGGAAUUGGCGGGGGAGCACCACAAGGUGUGAAGCUUGCGGUUU
rnacentral:rRNA from 1 species